GGGGCGAAUGGCCGAGCCCCUGAGGAAACGGGAGCUCGGCUCCGAGCGUGUGGGUUUUCCCUUCUCGUCUUUGUUUGUUUGCUUUUAGAGACUGAGGGAAAGUUGCUUGUGCGUGCUGCAAAGCGUGGCGUUGUUCUACGAACCGUUAUUUUUAACGCGUGAAGAGCAAGGUCGGAUUAGAGGAAGUUUCUGCUCUUUGCCUCGGUCUCCUCCAGUGCAGAGAAUGACAGAGAGAACAGCAUUCCGAAAGAGAAGGUGGAUUUCCUUUUGGGAUGAUAGCCCUGCCUUUGCUUUUAUUCUCGUGUUAUUGACAUCAUUUCACCCACAGCCAGUUGAUGAUGAAGUUGAUGUCUUCUUCGAGGAACAACUUUCUACUGCCUGGCUACUGGUGUAGUGUAGUCUGUGGGUGAAAAGAAGGGAGGAGUCAUAUUUGUCAAGUCCAAGGGUGAGAAGAGAUCCAAUUGCAUUCCACAUGAAGCAAAGCAGUCAGUUUCAAAGGCAACAGCGCAGUCCUCUCCAGUGACACAAGGUGUACAAGAGGAUGUUGUCCAGUGGUAAGAGAAAUGCAAUCAGACCAGACGUGGAACGCGGCUCCCAUUUGAAUGACUGUGAUUCCAGUAGCUGCACACUGGUUUAAAAAUAAAGCAGUACGAUCUGAUUCUCUUCUGUCCUUGUGCUUGAGUCAUGCGCUCGUGCAGAGAUUUUUGUAGGCAGUUUGCUUUGCAGAACCACUAGCGGAGA